GGUCCCACCAAUUGGCUCCGUGGCACCAACGACCCUGUCUGCUUGAUCAAUCCACCUGGCACAACCAAAAUCGGCAAUUUUGGCACCGGUUUUACCUAACAAAAUGUUCUGCCCCUUAAUGUCACAGUGUGCUAUGCCCCUUGAAUGUAGGUACUCUAGUCCUUGUGCAAUUUGCUUGGCAUAAUACCCUAUCAAAGGCUCGUUGAUCCGACCACCAUGUUUCCGAUUUUCAUGGACGAGUGUACCCUCGGACAUGUACUCCAUCAUAAGAUUAAACAUGAGUUUGUCCUUCUCUUUAGUAACAUCGCACCCCUUGUAGCUAACUACAUAAGGUGAGCUCAAUUGGGACAGAAUUUUCUGCUCCUUUUGUAGCAACUCUGACUUGGAUAGCUCAACUGACUUGACAGCAAAAACCUCAUCGGAGAAACGUGACUUAGCAACGGAGACGGAGGCAGAGGAGCCUUGGCCUAUGGUAUGGCCUCUUCUCCAUUCCAUUUUUUAGAAGAAGAUUGGUGAGAAUUUUAAAAAAAAGUGUUCUGUUUUUGGCUUGUUUUUGAAUAGCUGCAGUAGAGGGGUGUAUAUAUAUAUAUAAUAAGGUGAAUUUUCAGAAAUUCCAAAAUAGUUGGGUAGAGCUUAGGUGGCCUUUCUCUUUUCCCUCACUACAUAGAGUUUGAAUAUGUAUAUGAUUUACAACGUGGCCUAAUGGUUAUGGCCGUACGACAGAUUGAGUAGGCUGGUGGACUGCCGUUACUUGGCUCAAUUGGCUUGUCUCCACGUGGCGAAACAUUGCAAUUUAAACAAGUACAUAUCAAUUUGAUGUGUUUAGUCUUUCAAUUUACAAUGAUUUGAAAUAAGUUGGAUAGGGGGUAGAUUGGGUUAUUGGAUAACCACUUUUGAAGAUUAACCGAUAAAUGAGUAUCUUUUCAUGAGAGUUUCGUUCAAGAACCAAACAAACUUUCUACUGAAUUCUUGAGAAUAUUCCACUUUUUGGUUGGCAUUGAAUUUGUUACAUGCUUAUCCACCAAAUUUGCAAUAAAAUUAACUCCAAGAACUGGACAAGCAUAACGUCAAUUGAAAAAAAUUGGCAAAUUAUAGAGUUGGGAAGUCUUUAAUGACCUUAGGGAAAAAACAAGUGGAAGAUUAACUAAACACGAUUCAAGGAUUACAAUCAAAGAUAUCCUUUUUUAUCUUGAGGAUAUGUAAUCUUUCAAAAUGGACAGAUAAAAAAAGGUUAAAUUGUCGACUAGGUGAAACGAAGAUAAGAAAUGCAACUGAGGAGGCAGAAUAUGAUAAAUACUCAUCUACAAUUUUAUAUCGAAUGUUUCUAUGAAAUCAAUUCAAUUUAAUUUAUUACAAUUAAAUAAUUUAAUAAAGUAAAUAUAUGAAUUACUAAUCAUGGUUAAAUAACAGAAUUGUAUGCACAAACAUGGACGUGAUGUAUAUUUAUUGAUUUGAUAUAAAGAGAAAUGAACGAGAUUAAGCUAUUUCAAGAUGCAAGAUCAUUGAUUCAUAUCCCUUUAGCUUCUAGAACUAAUAACAUGAGAAAUUGCUUUUUCUUGAUGCUAAAGGAAGAAUCAUACUUGGAUACGUUGAGAAGUUUUAUGCCAUUCCAAAACACUAUGACUAAAAGUUGGCCUUUUAGUAAAGUGGUUCGUAGCUUCUAAAUCAAGCGUAUAGAAAUAUGUCAAUGUGGCAGAGUGUGUAUUGCUAAGGUGCACCAAUCAUACCUUCAAUUUCCACAAGUUUCCUAUUAGAUAUCGACUUCUUAACGAUCACUAUAACAUAUUUAAAAUGUGUAGUUUUGAACAACUUCCUUUUUCUUUUCAACUGCUCAUUCUUUUAGUUUACUUUUUUCCUUCUAUGAGAGGCAUAUCAAAAAAUAUUCCAUGAAAUGGCUUGUACAUAUGGGAGUCUCCACAUACGAUGUACGCAUAUUAUAUUACUUGAAUUAAUACUCCACGAAAUGCCAUGUACAUACGGUCUGCAUAAAAUAAAAGACACACAGAUCAAUGCCAGCGUACUAUAUUAUAGUAUUAUUUAACUAAUCUGGACAUGAAAUGUAAAAUUUCUACAUAGUAAGAACUAAGCAGGGAAAUAAAGAAUGUUCAGCAAGUAGUCAUGAAUCAUGAUAUAGACCAUUGUAAUUAAACUCAUCACAUCAUAAUUUGAAUUUCACUGGUUGUGCUUCCAGGAGUACAUACGGUAACGAACUUGGCAUUGUAUGAUAUAUAUUGUUUAUGCUAAUUAUGAUAAAGAAAUUUUAUCAGUCUGAGUUGCACAGUGUAAUUAAAGGACACAAUUUGGAGUGGUAAACGGACGGAUUGGAUUGGAUUUGAACGGGUUAAAUAUGGAUCGAGUAAAAAUGGUUUGGAUUGCAAUCCGCCCAUAUAAAUAUGAGUAAAUAUGGAUUGGGUAAAAAUGGUUUUAACCCACUUUAACUCCUAAAUAAAAAACUUAAAACUUCUAUAUCAUAUCAACUUGACUUUUUUUCCAUUUUUUUUAGUUUUUUCUUUUUAGUUUUUUUUUGUCUCUCUUCUAUAUGUAGCCUUUAAUUUUUUUUUUCUUUUUUUUGUCAUUUCUUUCUCUCUCUACCCUCUGCCAUUUGUUUUUUUUUUUUCUCUUUUAGUCUCCAUUUUUUUUUUAUUUUUUUUUGUUUUUACUUCUUUCUCAUUUUUUUCCUUUUUGGUUGUAUUUUAUAUUUUAUAUUUUUUUCUUUUUGAUUGUAUUUUAUGUUUUUUGUUUUUUUUAAUUUUUGAAGAACAUGGUUAAGUCAAAUACAAAUUAUGGAUGAUGACUAAAAUAUCGUAAUCACUCAAUAUAUUUGUUUUGACCAUCAUCUUUUUUCUUUUCCUUUUCUCCUUUUUCAUUAUUUUUUCUUUUUGACUUUUUUAUUUUUUUUCUUCAAUUCUUUCUUUACAUUUUUUUUUCUCUUCUAUCUCUAACUUCUACCUCUCUUUCUACUUUUUUUUUUUCUAUUUUUGAUUUCCUUCUUUUUUUUCUUUUAUGAUAACGAAAUAUCAUAAGCGCAUAUUGAUUUAUAUUCGCCCAACAUUUAUAAUUCGAGGGCUAUGUGGUUCCUCAACCAUAUAUAUUUUAGUCUCAAGAAAAUACAAUUAAUUCAUAUACUUUUUUUUUCAUCCGGUGUCUGGUGCCUGCAUUGGAUCCCCGACUAAUCCGAAUCGGGCGUUGCAGAGCCCAUUAAGGUGGCAGCGCUCCCAACAGAGUUUUCUCCAUACCAGGGUCAUACCCUUGACCUAUGGAUUAUAUUUAAUUGAUAAGAGAUGUUAAGAAUUAUAUAGACUAAAUGGGAUAAUUAGAAGUUUAUAUUUAUUAACCUAUGUAGGUCUCAAGCGAAUACGAAUGAUGAAAUAAGAAUGAAUAAGGGAAAAGCGAAAAAAAAAAAGAAUACAAAGAAAAAAGAAAUAAAAAUAAAAAAAUAAAAAAAUAGAUGAAAAAAUAAGAAAGAAAAAAAAUUAUAAGGAGUGAGUACAAAAAUAAAAAAAAUGAAAAAAGGUAAAUUAAAGAAAAAAAGUAGAAGAAAAGAAACUAGAAAAGAAAAAAAACUAAAACUUUAAGCAUAGGUGGGUGAUCUCUGUGUUUAAAUGGUACCCAUAUUUUACCCAUUUUGUCCAUAUUUGUAUGAGCUUUUAAAAUAAGUAGAAGUCCAUCUUUAUUUAUUUGAAAUAUGAGUGAUCCAAUUCACUAAAUAUGAAUUAAAUGAACUUUUUUUACAAAUAUAAGCUGAAAUUACCACCCUUAGACACAAUAAUGAUUUGGCCUAAAUUUUGGAGAGGUUAAAAGAACAAAUUGGGAGAAAGGAUGUGAAAGAAGUUGCAACAAGAGUAGAUUUUAGUGUUGACUCUUUGAAGAACAUUCUGGUGACAAAAUAAGGUGGGUUUAGUUUUAAAGUAAAGGCAAAAUGUCUUGUGUAACCAAAAAUAAUAAAAAACUGAAGGCAAAAACAACAAAAGAUUGCAUCUUUCCUUGGGCCUCAUGCCAUAUGACGCAGUACCAGUUUUGAAAAUUAGCAUCUAAAUCUAACAAUCAUAUAUUACAAUACAUUAUAAAUCUACUCCCGUUAAAUAAUUAAUUAAUUAUAUAAUCAAUGGUACUACAAUAUGGAGGCGUGGCUUGUGAGUUAGCUAAUGAUCAUGCGAGGUUGUUUGUCCUCAAUUACGUGGCUAUUUUUUAAUACCAAUUUAAACAACAGUUGCAUGAAUAUUUGGUAAAAAAAUCAAAUGAAAAAGUUAUAUUGAGCAUUAAAUUUUGACACGAUACACUUUUAAAUACAAAUUAAUAGUAAAAUUAUUUCAGAUAUAGAGAAAAAUAGGAUACGAAAUGCAUUAUAUUAGUCAAUGCUGUCCAAAACGAUUGUCAAGCAGAUAUAAUGCAUAAAUUUUAUGCAUAAUAGAUGAGUCAUUUUUAAUGAUUUAAUGAUAUAUUUAAAUUUUGUCCGUAUAUUAAUUUGAGUCUUUUGGAAGAAGGAUACCACUUUGAUUCCGAAUUCUUUGAAAGUUCAGAUGGACUAUUUAUGUUUAAAUUCAGGACUCACGUGUGACUUUAGCUUUCAGACAAGUCUAUCAUAACUUGUCGUGUGCUACUGCUCAAAAUUACAUAUCCAAUAUAUUAAAGUUGUAACAUGAAAUCCAAGCUAGAAGCUGUCCAUCACACAAACAGCUCCUAAUACAUAAAGUUCACUUGGCAUGAAUUCUAAUAUUCUUCAUUUGCAACAUUUUAGGGGAGGGUUUAUAAUCUUUCUUAGCCAAGUACUCACUCCUAUUCAUAUUAUUUAAUAGUAUAAAGUAUUUUUUAUUAGUUUAUUCUUCUUAUAUCACUAUGAUGAAAAAAUAUAUUGAAAAUUAAUGCAGUUUGACUCAAAGUAAAAAGUGACUAGUAUAUUGGGACAAAAGAAUACUCUAUUAAGUGAAGUAAAUACAAGAAAGAUAAUUGAGUAAGAGGUGCGACAAAUAUCCACAUCAGAUGUUUACAUUAAACCAAUUUAACUAACAAUGCUUUACAAUAUUUAAUGAAAUGAAGCUAUGCAUUAAUCAAUCAUUGUUAAAUGAUAGAUAUAUGUAUGAGCAAAUAACACAUUAUAUUUGUCCUUCGGAACAGCCUAGUUGGUUUGGAGGGCGGUUACCCACCCGGGUGAUCAGGGAUCGAUUCCCCCCUCAAUGCCUUAUGGGUUUGAGCCUGUCGCACAGGGCUUGUCUAGUGCGGUUUAUAUCCUCAUGUGGUUUGCAGGCUAUUGCAUCGGGGGGUUUACCCCAUGCGCACACGGUGCUCACCCGAAGAGCAGAGGUUGUGGCAGAGGGUGUAGCGACUGCGAGUUUUCUUGAAAAGUUUCCAAAGAAAAAUAAAAUAACACAUCAUAUUACUAAUUUAUUGAUUUAGUGUAAAUACUAUGACUAAGUUUUAUAGGGGACUUAAAAGUGUUGGUAAUGCUAUGAUGAUUGCUUUUAAUGAAAUUAGUAUGCUAUUUCAAAGGGCAAUAAGAUCAUCAAUCUCCUCAUCUUCUGGAACUAAUAAACAAAAAAUGUCUUUUCGUCAUGCUAAAGAAAGAAUAAUUCAUACGUUGAGAAGUUUUAAACCAUUAAAAUAACAGUAACAAAAAGGUUAGCUUCUAAAUCAAGCGUAUAAAAAUCUUUCAAUGUUGCAAAAAGUGUUUUUCCCAAUCAUAUAUACUUUCAAUUUUCCACAAGUUUCCAUCUGAUGCUGACUUCUCAACUAUUUACUUAUUUAAAAUAUGUCUCGAACGACUUCCUUUUCUUUUCAAAUGUUUAUUCUUUUUGUUUUUAUUUUCCUUCUACGAGAGACAAUAUAGAAUCAUUAUAUAUUGUAAAAUAUUCUAUGAAAUGUUAUGCACGUUUGGUGUACGCAUUUUAUAAACGGUAUCGACAAUUUCAGCGUAUCAAUAUUUAAUUUUAACCCUUUUUUCUUGAAUACACCACGAAAUGUCAUGCGCAUUGUAUGUGCUACACCCAUUGUCGAUAUCAACUUAUUUUAUAUCUUAUGUGUUUAAUCUUUCAAUUUAUAUUCUUACCUGGAUAUAAAAUCUAAUAUUUCUACAUGGUUAGCAGGGAAAUAAAGAAUAUUCAAUGAGACAACGUAUAAGUAACGAUAAAUGGAUAAUCUAUUGUAAUGUAAAUUAGUGAAACUUUAGUUUGAAUAAUGACCUCCUGGCCGUGGGUUCGUUCUAUGAUGAUGUUGUUAGGAUUUUUGCCUCGAUUUUUUUACCAAAUUUAAGCUUUACUUUUUCUUGUAAGGAAAAUAAAAGUAACCAUAAAUACUUUUACUUUUCCUGACAGGAAAAUAUAAAACUUUUUCAUAUUUGGCAAACCUCUUUCUUGGAGGAAAGGGACUCCUCUUCUCAUACAAUAACAUAAUAACAUCCACAAUGUAGUCUUUAAAGAGUCUGUUUAGGGGGAGAUUUCCUAUCUCAUUAGUUUUUAUGUUUUAAAUAUUAGAUUUUAUAUAUAGGCCAAUUGAUCAAAGAAUAUAAUAAUAUUAAGCUUUUUAGUAUUGUUUUUGUGUCUUCUGAAUUGUCACCAUAAUGGUUUGCAACUAAUAGCUUCCGCAUGACGCCCUUUCGAUUUCGGACCCAACAAGUAUCCAAAUUCUUGUCGAUCUCUAGUGAUUGUGCCUCAGAAUGUAAAUAUGUUAACAAACUCGGUAUUAACUGAAAUGUUAUAACUAUUCAUAAAGAAUCUUUACCUUGUUAAAUUGAGUGGCAAAGAUAACUUAAAAGGCCAUUCCAAUAAUGGUUUGACUUUAAGGAGGAGUUUUAUUUUUUUUUUUAAAAAAGAAUAAAGGGUGUGAAAGAAGUUGCAACAAAUUUCAUUACAGCAAAAGAGACUUGACUCUAAAGAACAUUUAUUGACAAAAAUACAAAAUGGGUGGGGGUUUUAGUUUUAAAGUAAAGGAAAAAAAAAAAAAAGAUUGCCUCCAUCCCUUGAACCUCAUGCCGUAUGACGCAGUACAAAUAUUAAAAAAAUUGGGAUCUAAAUCUAAUCAAUCAUUUAUUAGAGUAGAUUAUAAAUCUACAACCAUAUAAUUAAUUAGUUAAUUAUUUAAUGAAUGGUCCUACAUUGCCAUGCCAUGCCAUGCUGUCCAAUAUAUGAAGGCCUGGCUUGUGAGUUAGCUAAUGAUCAUGAGAGGUUGUUUAAGCUCAAGUCAAGUGGCUCUUUUUUCAAAUUUCAAUUUAUAGGACUUUGAAUUGAUUUAUUUUUAGGUAUUUUUAAUUUUAAGUAUUUUUUAAUUUUUAAAAGUGUUUGAUAAAGAUAAAAAAAUAUUUUAUUUCAGACUUAAAAAGUAUUGAAAAAUAGAGGCCAAAAGUUGAUAGUUAUCAACUUUUAGUUUUUGACUUUUAACUUAUAAAUCAUUAAAAAAAGUCAUUUCCAACACCUCGUUAACCACUUUUAUUUGAAUUGGUUAGGUUCCUUAAUUCUUUUUUAAAGGAAAAAAUCACGAGACACAAAUUUCAAAGACUUUUUGUCACUAUCCAAAAGUUGAGGAUGACACUCAUCGAGAUUCAACUUAGGUGUGUAAGCCGACACCUCAAUCGAAAGAAAAAAAUCAAGAAAUGCAAUUAAAAACAAGACAAACAAGAAUUUUAGAAUGAAAUCAAGUCAACUCAUAUAUAUAAAACAGAAGUCUGAACGAAAUACCAUCAAAUCCCCAACAUCUGGUAUCAUAAGUGUAGAGCAUCUAAAUACAACUCAGAAAGUACGAAAAUAAAAUAUAUGUCUCUGAAAUAAGUAAAGACAUCUAGAUAAGACGAGGUCUGGAGUACACUCUAAAAACCUAGAACAUGCCAAUUCCCCAGUCACCAACUCUGACAGGCACUAGCGCAGCUAUCACGCCUCGUACUCAUACUAGAUCUGCGCCAAAAGGGCACAAUAAGAGUGAGUAUGAUGCACUUGUACUCAGUAGGUAUUAUAGGUCGACCGAGCAAAGCAAAAAAUAAUACAAGUAAAGAAUUACUAUGAGCACGUCACUUGCAAACAAAAAAAUUCCCAAAUGGUAGCUCAUAUUGUCUUCAUUAAUAGUUCUACUACAUAGACAAAAACAAAUAGAAGCAGGUAUUCACGAAGGUACAUGAAAACUGAGUACACACAAAAAAAAACAUAAAAGAAACACAGAAGGUGCAUAUGCAAAUGCAAUGCAAUGGAUGAUGAAGUGAAUAGUAUGAAAGUCAUCUCAUGACUUUCUGUAUACAUCCAUCGAGCCUCAUUGGUCCUAAAAUAGGACUAUGGAGAAGUUUGCAACCCGUAUACUAGCUCAAAAUCUCCACCCACCUCUUUGUCUUGUGUUCACAGAUCAAAGUUUUUACAAAAAAAAUCCAUUUUCUUUUAAAGUAGUGUUCCUUAAUGGUACUAAUAUCUCAUGAAUAUAUAUGUAUGAAAUGAGGAUAUAAUGCUCACAAUCAAAUCAGUAUGAAGAUAACAAAUUCAUUCAAUACGUGCAUAAGUGAACCUAGAAAUUAACUCAAUAUGACAACAUUUCAUGAUAUCAGUUCUAGUUUGACACUAUUGAAAUAAAUAUGUAUGUAAAACAUCAUUAAUAUCUUAUCAACCCAUAACUCAGGCAUUUCUAUCAUGAUAAAGGCAAACAAUGCUCAAUAAGGUCAAUAAUAUCUAUUCAAGCCCCCUCACGGGCAUCAAAUUAAGAAUACACGCAUUUAAAUGCACAAAUAAGUCAAUGAUGUCAAAUAAAUUCUCCAAACGGGCAACACGCAAUAUAUGAUAUCACAAGUCAACAACAACAACAGUAUAAGCCCCCAUACGGGUACAAAAUAGUAAAUAUAAUUUCAAAAUAUAUUUUUCAUAGUUAUUUUUUCGAACUCAUAGUACACUUUACUUAUUUAUUAACUACCCAAUUCAGUUUAAAGAAAGUUAAGCCAUAGCCUACCUUGAAGCAUCGAAAUUCAAGCCUGAAGUCCUUCAACGCGGAACCUUCCCUUGCGAACCAUUUGGAAUCAACUAAAACAUACAAAUAUAACAUCAAAAGAAAGUUAAUGAUACCCAUAUUGUCCAUAUUUAAGUUAGAUUCAAAACGAGUUCUAAAAAUUAAUUUAAAAAUAAUAGGGGUAAAAUCAGACUUUUAUUUUAGAAACCAGUCCCCAAGAUUAUAGGAGUCUACAGUUAUAAACCCACACGAAAAUGAGAUCUGAAUCGUAGAAAAAUUAUUUUUAAGCUUUACUGAUAAAACUUCAAAAAUUCAUAUCAAAAUCGAGGUUAAAAGGUGUUUUAGAAGAGAUAAUCAAUAAGUAAUAAUAGAAAGAUGAGUUCAGAGGUUACCCACAUGAAAAAUGAUGAGAAAGUCCUAGAAAAUCGUCUCUCCCGAAACUUGGAGGUUCAAAAAUGGAGGAAAAUUGUGAGUAUUAAACUAUAUAUAUUUUUUCAUCAUUGUCCGCUUAAGAGGCUAAAUGAUCGCUAAAGCGAUCGCUGCUAAAAUGAUUGGUGACCGCUAAAGCGACCUGUCCACCAUGUCUGGCUCCGCAACAGGGAUCCACCAUUGCUAAAGCGGUAAAGUGCCCGCUUUAACAAUGAGGCGACUGGUCAAAGUGACCGCUAAAACAGUGCAUUGCUGCGACAUUGGCUACCACUAAAGUAGUCUAUUGGCCGCUAAAGCACGUCUGCACUAGCUUCAACUGCAUCAAUAACUUUGCUAUUUUGCAAAGUUGCCAAUCAACCCCUUGAGUUUCAUUCGAAAUGGACUAUGCUACUAAAUUAAAUUCGAUAUUAUGGACUCAAUGAUGACGUAUUUUUUAAAAAUUAUUUUGAACAAAUUACUCUCGGCAACCCCUUAAAGCUUAUUAAAAAUUAGUUUUCAAUCGGAGGGUCGAAAUGCAAACUAAUGAUUCCAAACCUGAAUCAACCACGCUACUAACUCAAUAUCAAUGUUUCCGAUCUAAUGAAAUUGUUCAAAUUUCCAUCUGAUGCUCAAAACAUAAAAUGCUGAUCGAAGUCAACUAUAGAACUUUUAAAACCUCUACAAAUCCCAAACUCUUUUAAAACCCUUUCAAAAACAUCGAAAACCAUGUCAAUCAUCUCCACACCUUAAAAUCAACUUGCUGUAACAAUGAGAAAAAACAAAACUUUUAAAUCCCAUUAAAAAUAAAAUUUCACAAAUCAAAUCAUCACACUUUUAUUAGAGUAGUUUGUUUCACUAAUGAUAAAAAGCAAUCACAUGCACAUAAAAACCAGUUAUAUAGAAUAAAAAGUUCACAGUCAUGUAAGGAGAUUAUAAACUUUUUGCUUCCACAAUUUGCUUUUACUUGUCACUAAUUUUUUCAUUGAAUUUUUAUUUUUAUUUGUCAUUUUUGACAUAUAAAAAAAAGACAACUUAUUUUUUCUUAUUUUAUCCUUAACAGUAAUUGCUUACUCCCUCCGUUUUAAAAUAGUUGACCUCUAUUGACUUGACAUUCUCCUUAAGAAAAAAUUUAUUAGAGGUUUAUUUUAUCAAAUUAGUCUUCUUAAUUAUGUUUUGAAAAUAAUGAAUCAUUUAAUAAUAAGAGUAAUAUUCAAAAACAUAAUAAUAAUCUCUUGAUUUCAUAAAAAUAACAAUUAAAUUGAAAUAAAUAUUUUUGAAAGAGAGCCAACUAUUUGAAACGGAGAGAGUAUACUCUAAACUAAUCUCAAAACACACUAGUAAUUACCAAUUAAUAGUGGGUACGAUGGUAAAAUAAUCAUAUAUUAAUAACAUUUUUCUUAAUGAACGUACCAAAUUAACAAAUAAAAGUAAACGAAGGGAAUAAUUAUGUAGUACAUGUAAGUAGCUAGUGGGAUUGCAUUUGGAAACCGUAGUCCCUAAAACAAGUUGAUCAAUAGUAUUUCCUUUGUCCAUCUUUACUUGUCCAUAUUUGAUUUAACACAUAUUUUACGUAACAAUAAAUAAAAGGGCAAUCUUAUUAUAUUUAUGCAAUUAAUUAUUAGUCAACUAAAUAUUGAAAAAUGAAUAUAUUAAAUAAUAAGGAUAAAAUAGAUACAAAAUAAUAAACUAUAUAUAAUUUUCUAAAUUAAACAAGUAACGUUGAAUAACUAUUUUAAGUAUGCUGAAAAAGUAAAAAUUGAUGGAGAGAGUACUUGGUAGUAAGCAUGUCUAAACAUGGUGACAUUGUUAUAGGAUCAUCGCAUAUACAUGUCAUCUAAAGAUGCUAUACAGAUUUUGGUAGAUGGGAAAUGGGGAACAAGAUAAUUAAGAUGAGUUUAUUUAGCCUGCCAAUUUGAUACAGGUGGACGCUGUGCUGCUUUCACGUUGCCCGUUUUCUGUGUACGUAGUACUGUAGUAGUUGUACGAGGUAGCAUAUUCCUUUUUUUUAAAAAAAAUAAAAAAUAAAAAAAUAGAGACCAGAAAAGGUUUACAUUCUUGUGUCUUGUGUGCAUAUUGAAUGAUUUCUUGUGAUGUACGGGACAACUAGACACUUUUUCAGUGUUGUGUAUAUCUAUUUGGUAUCCGGCAUUUACAUGUUAGAUUCUUAAUUGGCAGUCAAUAGCAAAGAUCAAGACACAAGUACAAACAUAAACUUGAUAUAUAACAAAGAAAGCGUACCCUUCAUCUCCAUUAUUAAGCAGCGGUAGCAACGUCGACGGUUAAACUUAAGACCAACUUAAACCAUCCUUCAGCUAUAUCAAACCAAUGGAGCGUCAACCGCUAUACCACGUAUUCAAGAAGAAUAUAGGCUAGAGUUUUCUAGUGGCUAGGGAAAAGGAGUUUGCCUCUAUUUAUAGAGCAUCUACCCAUCAUAGACUAAUUGUUAUUGGACCUAACUUAUCCACACACAUAAUAAUUCAAUAUUAUGUCUUUUAUUAAUCCACCACUUAAACAUAAAAAAAUCAUGAUAUGUUUUGGAAAGACUACAUGAGGAUAUGAGUGAGCAUUAACAUCCAAAAACCACUUAAACGAUCAAUGAAAAUUAGGCAGCCAGGUGGUGAAUGUGUGCAAAACACAUUUAAGUAUGAAAGAUUGGGAACUUUUUUUUUUCUUUUGUGGUUUGAUUGGUUAUACGAACAAGUUUUGGUGCAAACUAUAUCAUCAUUUAGAAAUUGCUAAAGUACAAUUUCUUUAUGGGUUGAAAUUGCGUGCUGAACGACAACAAACAACCAUGGAUGGCAUGCAAUGGAUUAGGUCGGAAAAUAGAUCAGCGGGAGGCACGUGACAUAAUAAGAAGGGAGAGUAUUAUUCAAAUGAAUUGGGUAUGACAAAGGAAAACAACUCAAAGAAUGAGGAAGAAAAUAAUGGGGAAGUGAGGGAGGGAAAGGGAAAGAACACACAAAAUAAGGGAGAAAGUGAUGUGCAUUGUGGGAAUAAGAGUAUUAAUAAUAACAUAAAAGAUUAUGAGACUUGAGAUGCGUUGGAAAUAAAUUUACUAAUGAAAAGGGAAGAGGUACAGAGGGGUGGGUUUCAGAGAGGCUGGAUAGAGCCCUUUCAACAGCUAGUUGGCGCGUACUGUUCAAUAAAGCUAUAGCGUACCAUUUGAAAACUGCUUGUAGUGAAGAUAUGAUGCUUUUUAUCUCCUUAGGAUUAAGUAUCAUUCGAUAUUCACUAGAGAAGUUUUGCUUUGAAAACUCAUGUCUUUGGAAAAUAGAUGUUAAAAAGGUAGUGGAGGAGGGUUGGACCCAGGGAAAGGGAUAACAUAUUACAUCUCAAAUUGAAUACUGAAGGAGUUUUUUACAAUCCUGGGGUCGUAACAAAAAAAAUAAUUCCAAUCAAAGAUGACGUAUCGCAAGACACAGAUGAAGAGACUUAGGCAGUAGUAGAAACCUGAGUCACAUUGCUCUAUAUAAUAGUGCCAAAGAUUCUUAUGAAAUCCUAUUAAGGCAACAAGAAUACUACUAGAAACAAAGAGCCAAACAAUUUUGGCGUCAGAGUGGUGAUAGAAAAAACCAUAAUUUUUAUCUUAUGGCUUCUUCACAAUGAAAAACAAAUACAUUUACACAAUUGAAAGAUGAGUUUGAAAGUUGAUUUGAUUGGGAGAAUGCAAGCGAUCUUAUUGUGAAAUGUACUGGUAUGCUAGAUGACGUAAGGCUGAAUGGAAGGGUUCAUAUGCAUGAACAGUACUGAUUGAAUGAUAUAGAGUAACCGAAUUUGAGUGUACAUGGAUAACUGAAACUGCUGUAAAUACUGAGUAUGUAAUAUGGUGCACAUAUUUAUAUAUAUACACUGUAUUUGAGCUUUUUUGAAGGUAAGUACUGAGUUCUGGUAACUGAGAAACUGAUAUCAGAAGUUACUGAUAACGGAAUUACUGAUACUAAGUGACUGUGUAGAAAUAAACUGAGUUCUAGACUGAGACUGAAACUGAUACUGUGGGAAGUAAUCAUCUAACCGACAUGCCCCAAAUUUGAGCUGUCUGUGACCCUAGUUGGAGGGGUGCUAAUACAGUGCCAUGGGUACUAAUACUGGAAAACCAGGAUGCCGAGCCUAACAGACGGGUGACACUUGGGUGAAGCCAAGUCUAAUCUAACGGGAGACCCCUGGGAGGUAGUCAAGCCUAGUCUAACGGGUGACUCUUCAUCUUGCAUUGGCUAUGCAGUUCUGGAGUACAAGGAUUGCUACUAAAGACUCUGCCGCUCUGAUGGGGAAGCUGUCAUUACUGCACUCGCUCAGUGCUAAAUCCUACUCCCAACUGAAAGACACUGAUUAUUAAACUGAACUGAACUGGACUGAUACUGAGCUUUACUAAGUUCGAAAGCUGUGAGUUCACUGAAUUCUGCUAACUGACUGAGGGCUACUGAUCGUGACGCUACUGAGACUAUUCUGUAACUAAAUGUGGCUCUAGGUAAACAACUAGAUUUUUGGGUAUUAAAUACCCCAGGACUCGAUAGCAUGGAAAGUAAGACAUAGCAUGAUCAUAAAGACAUAACAAUACUUGCUUACUAAUAAUGCACUCAUUUCUUAAUGCACAUAAUCAUGAAUAACAUAUAAACAUUGCAACUACAAUGCCAAAUCUUGCAAAUUCAUGGGUUAUAACAUGAGAAUUACACAAUUCAAGGUACAAUUUAUCAUGGAUUGAAACUCCAUUAAUGUCAUGAACAUGAAUACAGUCCAAUUUCAAGAAUAUAAAUCAUGAAUUAACAAUCUUGUAGUUUCAAAAACGGAUUCGUGGACUUUAUGGGUGAAAGAAACCCAUAGAUGAACACCUAACAUACCUGAGAGAUUAAUCCUUGAAUGUUCUUAGUGAAAUUAUUGAGGAUUGACCUUGAUUUUUGAAGCUAGGGCUUUUGCCUCUUGAGAUAAAAUGUUGUAAUCCUUGAGUGAAUACUGAAAUAAUGAGCAAUUAGUGCUUCUUUAGGGCUAAAUUUCGUGUUUUAAGCUGAUUAGGGCAGUGGAAAAUGACUCAAAUACCCCUGAAAUAAUUUAAAAACUCGAAACUUAAAACUGAAAAUCUCAAUUUUGUAUGCUGGCACGACGUGCUACAAUCUCGCUAGCUCACUGAAAACUGGACAACUGGGAACUAGAAGCUCGGCGCGACGCAGUGAAAUCGCGGUGCCUUAUUGGAUGGGAAUUUGACCCUUAGCGCGAUGCGGUGUAAUCGCGUUGCCUUAUUAGAAUUUGACAAUUGUGAACUGACGCUAUGGCGUGACGUGCCAUUAUCAUGGAGUAACACUGAAAUUUUCCAAUUGCCAUUUGGUUGGCCUCUGCGACGCACUGAAGUGCCAGUUGGCACACCGUCUUACUAAAAUGGCUCUAACUCUUCACCCGGGUAUCAAAUUCGAGCGAAUUUUAUAUUAUUGGAAAGCUGACUGAAUUUUCUACGCAUUGGUAAGCUCUACACUGAAAAAUACUGAGUAUUUCAAAAAUUUUAUUUAGGAUAACUCAUGUACUGAGAGUUAAAUUAAGCUGGGGAAAUACGGGGUAUUACACUAUCCAAACUUAUCGUGAGUGGCACCCACCAUCUAUCCCAAAACUACUCUCUUAUAAUCAAUACUUAGAAGAGUUAAUAAACUAAUUCAUUAAAAGAUAUUUAAAUCCAAAAGCAAAAUAUAAGUACAACUACUUGCGGAACAUCGCACUUAACAAAACCAUCUCUAGAGCUUGAAAGUUGCCUGUACCAAAACAUCUAAGAUUGUCAAGAAGGGGAUGCAACCCUAAAACUAAGAAAAUGCACUCGUCCCCAAACAAAGGACAAAGUCAUUAGAGAAACAUCUCAUGGUGGCUCGAGUAUGCUACUCAUCCUAAAAUUUGAAUCACCCAUUGGACUCAUAAUUGAGGUCUCGCAAAAUUCGCUGAAAUAUGUAUUGCACUCAAUAAAGUAAAAGCGGGUGUAGUAGCACACAAGAAAAUAAUGGUGUACUUGUAGGGUCAUUUGGCCAACCCAAGAUAAGGAUAUAAACGUAUAACCAAAAUAUAGUACAACAAGUUAAUCCAUGCUCAUUCUAACCUACUCUAGCAUAACAAGUAUCAAUUAACAGUUUAGGAUUACAAGCACUAAGUCAAGUCAUUUAGAACCAAGUCAAAAAAUUCAAGCCCAGUCAAAACCAAUCAAGACAAGUUAAGCAAUAAUUAAGGAUAUAAAUCUAAUUCCCAAUUUACUCAUGGAAUCAUAAAACUAGGGGUGGGCAUUCGGUAUUCAGUACGAUACUUUUGAAGUUUGGGUUCGGUAAUUUGAUAAUCAGUAUUUGAGAGUAGAUACCACAUACCAUACUUUAAAACAUCGGUUCGGUAAUUUGGAUAUCGGUAAAUUAAGAUUCGGUUUGGUACGAUAUUUGGUAAUACCAUAUUAAAGUUGGAGGUUCGCAAACUACGUUUAAACUUCAAAAGUAUAUUUAAUAGAAACCCUAUUUAAUAUUAUUUUUUGUGCUUUUUAUGAACAUAUUACCAAGGUCGAAGAGAUCCAUUAGAAUAAUAACUAAUAUUAUAGUCUACUGGGUUAGUUAGACAUAUCGUAUUAUUNNNNNNNNNNNNNNNNNNNNNNNNNNNNNNNNNNNNNNNNNNNNNNNNNNNNNNNNNNNNNNNNNNNNNNNNNNNNNNNNNNNNNNNNNNNNNNNNNNNNNNNNNNNNNNNNNNNNNNNNNNNNNNNNNNNNNNNNNNNNNNNNNNNNNNNNNNNNNNNNNNNNNNNNNNNNNNNNNNNNNNNNNNNNNNNNNNNNNNNNNNNNNNNNNNNNNNNNNNNNUAUAUAAUUUGGUAUAUGGUAAAUACCGACUACCAAACGGUAUUAAUAUUUUAUACCAAACCCAAUCCCGAAUACAAAAAUAUUGAAAUUUUACUCCCAAAUUUCAUACCAAAUACCAAAUUACCAAAUACCAAUUAUCAAUUUUUUUGGUUUGGUUCGGUAAUUCGAUUUUUGGUAUUUUAUGCCCAUCCCUAGUCAUAGAAUGGGAGGGAGAUUCCUUAGCACCAAAGAAGAGGUUCAUAUCUUAUCUUAGAUCCCGUAAGCUGAUAUUCAGGGGUUAUUAUGUAUCAUCUAGUGGGGUCAAAGAUUCUGGUAUCAAGAGUUCCUUUUUUCAUUCGGUACCUGUAGUUAAUGAGUUCUCCAAAGUUUUUUUCGAUGAUCUCCCUGAGAUUUCCUCAGAUAAGGAGAUAGAAUUUGGAAUUGACCUGCUACCCGACACUAAGCCCAUUUCCAUUCUGCCAUGUAAGAUGGCUCAUACCGAGCUAAUAAAUUUGAAAGAGCAGUUGAAAGACCAACUUGAUAAAUGUUUUAUCUGUUCAAGUGUUUCUCCUUGGGUUCUUCCAUACUCUUCGUGAAAAAGAAAGGUGGUUCAUUUAGUAUGUGUAUAGAUUACCGUCAGAUUAAUUAGGUAAACUGAAGAAUAAGUAUCCCCUUCCCAAAAUUGAUGAUCUCUUUGACUAGCUCUAGGAUGCUAAGUAUUUUUCUAAAAUAGACCUCCGUUCGAGUUAUCACUCAUUGAAAGUUAGGGAGGCUGAUAUUCCUAAAAUUAUAUUUCGAACCUCAUAUGUUCAUUAGGAAUUUUUGGUUAUAUCCUUUGGAUUGACUAAUGCACCUGUAAGUUUCAUGAAUCUCAUGAAUAUGAUGCUCAGAUUGUUUUUGGAUUUAUUCAUCGUAGUCUUCAUUGACGAUAUUUCGGUGUACUCUAAGAGUGAGAAGGGCCAUGCCAAUCACCUCUAGAUUGUACUUCCGACCCUUAAGGACCAACAACUAUAUGCCAAAUUUUCCAAGUGUAAGUUUUGGCUCACUGCUGUGACUUUUCUAGGGAACGUUGUAUCUAGUGAAGGGAUUAAAGUUGAUCCUCAGGAGAUUGAAAUGGUGAAGAAAUAACCUAAACCGAUAACUUCAACCGACAUUCAGAUCUUCUUAGGUCUGGUAUGUUACUAUAGGAGAUUUGUUUUGUCUAUAGUUAUAACACUUAUCAGGUUGACUCAAAAAAAGGUAAAGUUCUUGUGGUUCAAGGCCUGUAAGAAUAGAUUUGAGAAUCUAAAAAAUAGGUUGACUACCACCUAUGUUUUGACACUUUUUGAAGGUAUUGAAGGGUUUGUUGUGCAUUGUGAUACGUCCCGAGUGGGACUCAGUUGUCUACUUAUGCAAAAUGGUAAAGUGGUAGCUUAUGCGUCUAAACAACUUAAGGUUCAAGAGAAAAACUACCCCAUCCAUGAUCUAGAAUUGACGGUUAUGGUGUUCGCACUUAAGAUUUAGCAUCACUACUUAUAUGUGGCUGAAUUUUACAUCUUCACUGAUCGCAAGAGUUUGCAGCAUGUGUUCACACAAAAGGAGUUGAAUCUCAGGAAAAGGUGAUGGCUUAAACUGUUGAAGGAUUAUGAUAUGAGCUUGCACUAUCAUCUAAGUAAGGAUAUUAUUAUUGUUGAUUCUCUUAGCAGGUUAUCCAUAGGCAACCUAAGAGGGAUUUUGUAAAGAAUAUUCACCGACUUGUUAAUUCGAAAGUCCAACUCUUACACUCUAAGGAUAGAGGAGUGAUCGUUCACGAGGUGGCUAGUUCAUCCUUGUGUGUUGAAGUUAAGGAGAAGCAAGCAAAUGACCCCAUAUUGAUGCAAAUCAAGAAGGCUGCUGGUCAAUAAAAGAUUUUAGCCUUUGAGAUUGGAUGAGAUAGUAUAUUGCGGUAUAAAAGGAGACUUUAUGUUUUGAAUGUUGAAGGGUUGCAAGAAAGAAAAUUGGUUGAGGCUCAUGUUUUUAGGUAUGUCGUUUAUCCCGAUUUUAGUAAAAUUUAUCAUAACCUAAAAAGGUGUAUUGGUGGACUAAUAUAAAGAGAGAUAUGUCAAAUUUUGUUAUUAAGUAUUUAAAUUGCCAGCAAUUUAAAGUUGAGCACUUGAGACCAGGUUGUACCUCCCAAGAUAUAGUUACUUCCAUUUGAAAGUGAGAGAUGAUUAACAUAGAUUUUAUUAUCGAUCUGUCGCGUACCCGAAAUCAAUACGACUUUAUUUGGGUUAUUUUUUUUUAUCGGUAAGGAGUAAUUAUUUGGGAGAGGAUUAUGCAAAGCUAUAUAUUUAGGAGAUUGUACGGUUGCAUGGUGCUCUCAUGUCUAUUAUAUCUGAUAGAGGCACAGAUUUUUCUUGGACGAUCUUUUCAGUGAGGUUUGGGGAUGCAGGUGAAUCGUAGCACUGCUUUCUAUCCUCAAAUGGAUGGAUAGGUGAAACAUACUAUUCAUACCUUAGAAGAUAUGUCGAGAGCCUGCGUAAUUAAUUUCAAAGGUAGUUGGGUUGAACAUUUGCCUCUUUGAGAGUUAACCUGCAGUAGCAGUUAUUACUCUAGCAUACAUAUAGCUUAUUUUGAAGCUCUUUAUGAUAGAAGGUAUAGGUCACUGAUUGGUUGGUAUGAGGUAGGUGGACCAGAUUGUUCAAAUCUGAUCUUGUGCAUCAAGCGAUGGAGAAAGUGAAGGUUAUUAGGGAGCGGCUUAAGACUGCCCAAAAUUAUCAAAAGUCCUAUGUUAAUGUGAGACGGAGGAAGUUAAGAGUUUAAGGUGGAUAAUUGGGUAUUCUUGUCUAAGGUAAACCAUCCUCUUCUCCCUAUCUAAGUCAAAAAAUUACUGUCACACCUUUUUUUUAACCAAAAAAGAUUAAUUUUAAGUUUGAAAGGAUUUUUAUUAUUAAGUGACAAAAAUGAAAAAUUAUUUUUGAAAAGGAUUGUUUAUAUUCAAAACUCAGAGUCGCCACCUAGCAUAAUCCGGUGUGCCAAGUCACCUUUGGAAAAUCCUUUUCAAAAUAAUUUGACUCUUUAAAUUGGUUUGCGAACAGAGAUUUCGGCUAAGAAAUUAUGUUGACUGAGGGGAAGGUGUUAGACAUCCCUCGGUCUCGUGGUUUGACCACGGUCGUUUGAUGGAGCGUAUCGGCUAAUUUGACAUUAUGGAUGUAUAAACCACACAAAACACGCAAAACAAUCAAUCAAUCAAACAAACAAAACUAAUUUAAAAUAUAGUGUCCAGUCCAAUUAUACAGUCCAAAAUAGAAAAAUGUGAAAAUAUAAAUCCUAUUCUAAACUAGUCCUAGGCUAAACUCUGAUGCCUUACCCGAUGCGUCGGGCAUUCAUCACAGACGUGUUUCGAGUACAAAAUACUUCGGGGUAUUCUCCAAUGAAUAAAUACAAAUAAACUCAGGGCAUUUCCCGGCUAAAUGAAUACAUUUUCUAAAUACGAGAAAAAAUAGAAUCGUUCAACACAACAUUCCAAAUAUUUAACAAUAUUCCUCAAGUCCUGAAUUUGCCUACCCGAUCCUAAACUUUGCAUAUUAAGCUUUCGGCCUAAAAUAUGAUCCUAUCGAGUUCACAAACUUGAUAUUUUUUCCAAAUUAAACAAAACAACAAUAAACCAAAAUUGAUCUAAAUUCACCCUUUUUAUCAAUUUCUCAAUUCCACCUCAAAUUCCCUUUUGUACGUCACUUUUCACACAAAAACGAUUAUCCAAACUUAUGCUAACAUCAACUUCAUACCAUGAUUAAUUAUUCACGGAUAAACAAUAUCGAACAUCAACAAAAUCAUCCAAUCACAACCCAACAACACACAAUCAUAGCAUCAAUGCACUAAAUCGAAACAAAAUGAAAAGAGAGAGUCAAAGAAAUGAACCUCAAGUGUCGAUUUCAAUAUAUCAAAGAUAGAACCGCGCCGAAGAACCCCAAUUUAAACCUCAACCAUGAAUAAUUCCUACUAGGUAUAGAAUUCAACCCCGAACCAAUUUAAAAGUAGAAGAAAACCUCAAUUCGGAUCUUAAAUUGCCAAUUUCAAACCAACCCCACCGCGUCGAUCCCGAAUUUGAUUUUGAACACACACCCAUAAAGAAAAAGGGACAAUCUGAAACAACUAUACGCAAAUCCAAACGAAAUACCAACGCUAACGCGAAUCCAAGUCGGUUUUAGGGAAAAUGGGGGCUGGUGGUGUCGUUUCUGAUGGAUUUAGCCAGAAGAGAAAUGAACGGCAGCUGGUACUGCUUUUCGGUGAAGAAUCCAAUGGGUUUCAGGCAAGAAACUCACCGAAAAAUAGUCAUUGAGCGUAUAUUUCUCCCUCUCUCUUGAUUUUUCUCUCUCUCUCUCUCUCUCGAUGCCGUCUUUCUGUCGACUUUCGAUUUCUCUCCUUCGAUCAAUCUCUCUCUCAAUUUGCUCUAUCUCUCUUCCUUUUCUUUACCUCCCUCACCCUUCGAUUCUCUCUAAUCACAUAUCUAUUUCUGUGUGUGUGCGACAGUGUGUGAGUGUAUCAUAUAUGGAUGGUGAUGAAUCCCCCCCUCUCUGUGCGGAUGUGAGUCUAUAUAUUUAUGUGGAUCACUGGAAACCAAAAUGGAGGGAUCGGGUUAUUGUUGUUGUCUAGGUGGGUGCGCAUGAGUGUAUUUUAUGUGUUUGUUCCAGUGAAUAGACCUCUGUCCAUGGAAAUUGGGAGGAUUUUUUUUUUUGUGUUGUAUCUUCAAAAAAGGGUCUAAUAUACCCUUCAACUAUUGAAAAUGGUACAUAAAUACCCUUCUUCCAUCUGUAGGUUCAAAAAUACCCUUUUAUCCAUCAGUUUAGCUCAAAAAUACCCUUAAUGUAUUAGAAAUGACUCAAAAAUAUCCUUCUUCCAUUUAUUGGUUCAAAAAUGUCUCUCCAUCCACCUAUUUGGAUAAAAAAUGCCCUUAACAUUAAAUUUAAGUCCAAAAAUGUCUCCUCCUUUUAAUAAAUUUUGAUGUGGAAUAUAAUUUUUUUUAAAAUUAAAUACAUGACAUUAUUUUUAUUGGUUCACAUGUAAUUAGACUCAAAUUCAUUCACAAUUUAACCCAUUCAGUAUACUCCCACAAAAGAUAAGUGUACGUCUAUAGUAUAAAUAACAAAAAUUAAUAACAAAAACUAAGGAAUCGCUCGAAUCACCACGAUGAAAAAUUAGAUUGAUUAUAUAACAACAAACAGCAACAUAUUCAGUAUACACCCACAAAACACGUCUGAAAAAAGUAAGUGUACGUCCGUAAUAUAAAUAAUAAAAACUAAGGAAUUGCAUUAUCUAAUAAAAUCUCAAUACAAAGUAAUGCGUGAUUAUAAAGAUAUAAAGCCAAAGUAAUUAACUAAUAAUUAAUUACAUAAUAUUAAAAGGGAGAACCAAAUAAUUAAUUUUCAUAGGGUUAUGUUCUACGAUUUUUCUAUCAAAAAUCUUUGUAAAAUAUUUAAUUUUCAUCAAUUUGCUGUAUUUUUUUUUGCAUGCUUUCUAUACGUCCGAGCUGUACUUUUUAGCACGCAUGCGCAAUGGUGACAUUAAAAAAUAUUCACUUGAUUAAUAAUUAAAGGAAAAUAAAUAUAUUGGGAAAAUAAAAGAUACAUUAUCUUAAAAGGAAGAGUCCCUCAAUAUAAAAUUAUAAAAUAAAUAGUAAAAUGGAGUAAACUCGCACAAUAAUAAUAACACAUCCAGUGUAUUCUCAUGAAAUAGGGACUGAAAAGAGUAUAAAAUAUACACAGUUCAUAUGAUGGCAGAGCCACCUUUGCUCCAGGGGUUCACCCGAACCACCUUCGACGAAAAAUUAUACUAUUUUUAUAUUUGUUUUUACAUGGUUAAAAAUAUUUUUAUGCAUAUAUAGUAGAUAUUGAACCCCCUUCGACUAGUUCGAAUUAUAUACUUCUGAACCCCCUCGAUGAAAAUUCUGACUCUGUCACUGAAACUGAGUCUACACCACUACCGCAGAGGUAAGGUAUUGGUAUGUCCAAAAUCAUGCUUACCAAAGUAUGUCCAAUCCAAAUGCAUUCCUUUAGGAUUAGGUGCGAGUUAAGAUCAUUAUUCAGUCAGAUCUUUUAAAAUUGGUUCCCAUUAGUGGGUUAAAUUGUGAAUGAAUUUGAGUCUAAUUACAUGUAGACCAAUAAAAAUAAUGUCAUGUAUUUAAUUUAAAAAAAAUUAUAUUCCACAUCAGAAUUUGUUAACAAGAGGAGACGUUUUUGGACUUAAAUUUAAUGUUAAGGGCAUUUUUUAUCCAAAUAGGUGGAUGGAGGAGCAUUUUCGAACCAAUAGAUGGAAGAAGGACAUUUUGAGCCAUUUCUAAUACAUUAAGGGUAUUUUUGAGCCAAAUAGAUGGAUGAAAGGGUAUUUUUUGGGCCUAAAGGUGGGAGGAGGGUAUUUGUGUACCACUUUCAAUAGUUGAACGGUAUAUUAGACCCUUUUCUAUUGUAUCUUCUAUGUGGGUAUGGUAAAAAAUAUGACAAGGCGUGGGGUAUGUGGGUAGGGGUAGGGUAGAGGUGAGGGUUGUGAGUUGGUUUGAGAUAAAGUUUGUUAGGAUAAGGGAAUAUUAAGGAUUUAAUUUGUUAGGGAUUUAGUAAAAUUUUGUUAUUUUUGUAUAUUUGUACGGUAUAAUCACAUGGUGAGGGUGUAUGACAACGUGAGGUAAAAAUGGAUUAAUUGGGAUAUUGGGAGGAACAAAAUUAGGUGUCUACAAUUACCAAAGUUUGAGAGCCCCAAGGUUAAGUUUUGUUCAAUUUCUCUCUAUCAAAGGUAUUUAGAACGAUCUGAAAUACACAGGGUUUUAAUUAUGUUCUUUUAAACUCUCUUUAGUGUUUAGAUUAUGGGAUUUCAUUUAACUACAAGAGUAUGUUUUCAAAUUUGCGCUUAUGUCAUAAUUAUAAACUUUUGUUAAACAUAUAUAUUAUAUUGUGAUUGAUGAUGAGAAUGAAGUUGUCAAUAUUUUUAUUUACUUAAUUAUUCAUGUAGACAGUUUCGAAGAGUAUUACUCGUGUUAAUGUAGCUCUUUUUUCUUUUGGUGUUAUUUGAAUACAACUGAAUGUCAUGUGUUUCUUCUAAGAUUUUUUGAAGAAUCUUGAAUGAGAAAUAUGUUUACUUAAACUAUCAAAUCGAAUUAAAAGAGCAUUAUUAUUUGACCUUUGAACAUCUUUACGGUGGUCGCUGAAUCAUGGCAUGUAAGAGAUUAAACAAAAAGUAUAAUAUAGCUCACACGACUUGUAAGUCUUGGUAUGACGAUACCAAAUCAGAAAUGGCCAUUCAUAGACAAAAUCAGUUUUUAGAAAAAUUAAUGUUUUUAAAGAUAUUAAAAUAAGGGCUUAAAGAGAGUUAAAUGGCUAACCAAGACGGCAUGAGUUGAAAAGCUUGUAGCCCAAAAUCGUGUUUCUCCGACACAGGCUUGAUUAUGUCCUGAAAUAUGAAUAAUCAUUGUAUACUUAUUUUAUGCUAUUGGUAUAUCAGACUUCAGUGACUCUAAUCCUUGCGGUAAACUUGGAUUAGGGGCCUAUCCGACAAGUUAAAGUCGGACCCCAUAAAGCCCAUGGGAUUUUCAGAGAUAUUGGGAACGCCAUGUAACUCAGAACUAUAGAAAUCAGAAGAGGGUCCAAGAAAUCAGAUUUUUAACUCAGAGUUUAUGUUUACAUUUUGCUAAGUUGGCUUCUAAUCCUAUAAUGUAUUUUUUUAUUCAGAGUUUUGGCAAUCAUUGUUAUUUAAAUGUUAUUUUCUCUGGUCGUUCUACAUGCCAAUACAUUUCACAUAUUGAUUGUUCUCGGACGGCUGCAUCAUUUCAUGAUGUAGGUUCGGUGACUUAUUCUCACGGUCUAGCACAACAUUAGGAUUUGUUUCAGACAUCAUCUGGUACAAGCCUAAGGAGCACAAAAGAGUACAAGGCAUUAUCAAAGGUUCAAAAUUCAGAAUUGACAAGUAAUUGAAGGUCUUUUGGAGCAUUUUUGAAACCUUGUUCAAGAGAAGCUAAGAGGAGAACCUUUACACUCAAGAGGAGCCUCAAGUGAAGGUUAUAUAAAAUAUUUUACACAUUAAAAUCACACUCAAGAGGCACCCCAGUUCCCUUAUUCAUUAAGGGUAUUUUUGACAUUUACUAUGUAAUAGUAUAAAUAGACAAAUUAGUUUCUCUUUUCAUUAGACUUUGAUGAAUUGAAAUUUAGUAUUACUCUUAAUGUAGUUGUAGUUCAUAGUUUUCUUUAGCUUAGUGUAGUGUAGUCGAAACUUGAGAGAUUAAUACAUUUGAAGGAUUUUACUUGUAUUGAUCAACUGGCAAGAAAGGUGUGAUUGAGGAGUGUGAAUUUCUUUGGUCCACCUAAGAGUGUGGUUUUGUCUCCCGUUCGUGUUGUGUGUUUUGGUGUUUGAUACACACCUUGGUGCUAUUCAUUGCUGUGAGUGUAUGUCUCACUACUAUCCUUUACAUUUUAUGCACUUUUAUCUUCUUUUAUGUUGAAUCCGAAAUGUCUAUGUGUGUUUUGAAUCUUCUACUUCAUCCCCUUUCUUCUAUGUGUUGUUAAUUUUGGAUUUUUAGUGUUUGUUUGCUUUCUUUAGUGGCUGGUUUUUGUGUUUCUAGGUUUGUUCUUGUAUCAUUUGGUAUCAAGAGCCAUGUAUUAGAGUUGUUCCCACAACUCUAAGUCUUGGAUCUAAGAAAAUCUCCACAAAAAAAGUCAAAAAUCUGAAAAACUCAAAAAAAAAAAAUGGGGUUGUCUUGUUGUUUGUAGUAGAUCCGUGUGUUAAAAGUUAGAUCUACUAAAUUUUAUUGUGUUUUGUUGGUGAGGCUUUUGAACUAACUUGUUUGUUUGUUUUGUAGGUGUUGUCUUUGCUGUUUUUUUGCUUGUUCUUAUGUACUUUAACCAUGGAAUUUGAAGGUACCACAUCCCAAUCUUUGGGUAAUGAUGUUUUAGGAGCCUUGAUUGCUCGGUUUGAUUCACUAACCCGAGAUUUGAAGGGUGGGUUGGGAUCUAUGAUGGGUGACUUGAGAUCUAUGAAGGGUGACGUAGGAUCCAUGAGGGGUGACAUGAUUAGAAUUAAAGCGGGGUUGAUAGACUAUGUCAAUCAAAACCUCCACAAAAUUCAAACCACCAAGUCCCAAAUCCACUUGACCAAAGACCCUACACUCAACAAAACCCCAUGCCACAAAUUCAAAUCCUCGCUCAACCAAAUCCGAUCCCCCUCUCCAAACUUCCCUAAACCGAACUCAAUCCAUCCAAGUAGGAGAAGUGGGAGAUUUAGCACCCAAGGAGAAUGAGGCUAAGCCUCAAUAUGGAUAUAAAAUGAAUAGUGAGGUACAAGAAGGAUAUGAAGAAAGGAGGGAAAAGGAAAGGAAAAUCAUGGGUAGUGAAGUUAGAAGGGGAAAGAAAUGCUUGCUUAUGGAUUUUUUCCACAAAGAAUCCUUAUUACUCCCUAACCCAAAUACUAGCAUUUCGCCUAGUAUUUUAUCUUCUUAUGUGCAGGUUCAAGACCCUAGAAGUCCCAAGGAGAAACCCAGGGAAGUUCCCUUUAAGCCUUGGCCAAAAGUUUGGAUUUUGGGAUAAGUGAUGAAGAAGUAAGCCCAAAGGGAAACCUUGAUAUAAUCCCUUGUAAUAUGGAGCAUGAAGGCUGCCAUAAUACAAACACAAGUGAAGAACACACUUUCCAUGAUCUACAAGGUAACAAAGCUAUCUUCUACAAUCCUAGAAACUUGAAUUGUUGUGAUGUGGCUAGUAGUGGCCAAAGUGGUGUAGUUUCGAUUUGUGAUACUUUUGGUGAUGUUAGGUUCCUUAAGGACCAAGCUCUUGUUGGGAGUACGCAAACACUAGUUGAUCCUUUAGAUGACAACAUCAAUUCUUUUCAUAUGAAUAAUUUGUGUCAACCUAGUGCUAGCACUUAUAACUUGAAUAAGUUUCCCUUACGAAGUGACAAGAGUAUUCACACACUAGUUGGCCAUUGUGAAAAAAAAGUGGGCUGCUCUAGUACAAAUCAAGGUAAAAUUGGUACACUCUACACUCCCUUAAGUUUAAAAUAUUAUGAUAUGGCUAUUAGUAGCCAAGGUGAUGUGAAUUUGGGUUUACAUAGUGUAGAAGUACGUGCUUCUUUUCUUGGUAGUUCUCUCGUUGUUUAUAAUGAUCAAUGUGCUCCUAAGAAUAACUGACUACUUGAACAUGUGGAUGAUAUGCUUGAAAUAUCUCAAGUAGAUGUUGAUCUAGAUAAUGAGUAUGGUCCUUUUAACUUAUGUGAUGAAAGUCAUGAUAUUAGUCUUGUUCAUAGUGACCAUGUGUAUGUCAAAGUUGUGAGAAAUACCUUGGGUGAUUGUGGAAUUGAUUCUCUAGUAAAAGGAAUAGCUAACCUCGGUUUAGAUCCUUGUCUAUUUCUUUCAUUUGAUCCCGGUAUAUUAUUGGGGUGAGGAAGGUUGUGUUUCGGAUUGUAUUUCUUUUUCCUUGACGUCUCUCGUAACCGUUUCCUUUGUGAUGCUUGUAGUAAGUAUUUCAUGAUCAGAACAAAGGAUUAUUGAUUGUAUUUCAAAUAUGUACCCCCUUGGCUUAAUAGACUAGUGAAAGGAAUGGCUCCUCUCGGUUUAGACCCUAGUUUACUAUUUUUAUUUGAUCCUGGUGUACUUGUGGGGUGUGGGAGGUGUAGUUUCGGUCCAUGCUCAUUAUAUUUUAAUAUUGAUGCUAUUCACUUCUUUGGUAUCCUUUAUGCUAAGUUUCUCAUGUUGAAUACCAAGGAUAUUUGGGUGUAUGUUAAGUGUGAACAACCAUGGAUUGAUGAUAUGAGUGUGGUACUAAUACUAACCCUCCUAACAAGAGGAUUGUGUGCUUGUUUUGCUCUCUCUUUGGUUUUGCAAGAUAUGAAUUUGAGGGCAAAUUCCUUUUAGUACAAGGCAUUAUCAAAGGUUCAAGCUUCGGAAUUGACAAGUGAUUGAAGGCCUUUUGGAGUAUUUUUGAAGCCUUGUUCAAGAGAAGCUAGGAGGAGAACCUUUACACUCAAGAGGCGCCUCAAGUGAAGGGUAUAGAAGACAUUUUACAUAUUAAAGUCACACUCAAGAGAUGGCCUAAUUCCCUUAUUCAUUAAGGGUAUUUUUGACAUUUACUAUGUAAUAGUAUAAAUAGACAAAUUACCUUCUCUUUUCAUUAGACUUUGAUGAAUUGAAAUUGAGUAUUACUCUUAGUGUAGUUGUAGUUCAUAGUUUCCUUUAGCUUAGUGUAGUGUAGUCGAAACUUGAGAGAUUAAUACAUUUGAUGGAUUUCACUUGUAUUGAUCAAUUGGCAAGAAAGGUGUGAUUGAGGAGUGUGAAUUCCUUUGGUCCACCUAAGAGUGUGGUGUUAUCUCUCAUUGGUGUUGUGUGUCUUGGUGUUUGAUACACACCUUGGUGCUAUUCAUUGGUGUGAGUGUAUGUCUCACUACUAUCCUUUACAUUUUAUGCACUUUUAUCUUUUUUUAUGUUGAAUCCGAAAUGUCUAUGUAUGUUUUGAGUCUUCUACUUCAUCCCCUUUCUUCUAUGUGUUGUUAAUUUCGAUUUUUUAGUGUUUGUUUGCUUCCUUUAGUGGCUGGUUUUUGUGUUUCUAGGUUUGUUCUUGUAUCAUCAUCAGACUUGUUGAGCCCUCCAUCUUUAGGAAGGCGGAUUAUGUUAGCCGUUUGGUAUUUACUUUCGUUCUAUGGUAUGGUCAGGGCCUUGUCUCAGCCUAGUCAUAUUUCACUAUGUUAGAGUCUUUGUGGACGGGAUUUAUUUAUGGAUUUUAUUUAAUAAAUGUUCAGAAUUUGAGAUCAUUGCUUAUGUAAUUGAAUCUCUUGACUGAGUUUAUUUUUCCGCAACUUAUUUGAUUUUAUACAUGUUAUGAGUCUAUGCUAAGGGGCUUUCUUUGGCCCUCCAAGGUUUGGAAAUGCCUGUUGCAGCCAGGAUGUCGACUCGAAUCGUGACUAUAUAUUGGUUGUACCACGUCAGCAUUUUCUUCAAAAUUUAUGUGCCAGGUCUAACAGUUUUAUAAACAAAAACUUUAAAAUGAGGAAAAAUGAAGAAUCUAAGAAGUGAAAUUAACAUGCAGUGAUAGUAGACAAGUAGUUUAAUGCAUCUUGUUGGAUCGUCCACGUUCAUGUAUAUAGUGGGAGUCGAAUCACAUUUGCUUUGGUGCUAGCGGACAAAUGUACAACGUACAUGGAAUACUCAAUUUAAAAAAAUAAUUAAAAGAAGAAUAGAACUUGUUAGUCGAUGUGAUUUGAGGUUGCACAUUUUAGUCUUCCUAGGGAAAUGUGUUUGGAACUCACUAUAUCUUAAUAUAGAAUAAUGGGAAAAUGUCAAAAAUUUCUUUAAAUGUGUGAAAUUCAUAAUAUCUAUCUUCUGUUUGUAGCUUGAUCUAAUCGGAAAUUCUACCGUUAGUACAUAAUUUAAAAAAUAGUUAGUUUUAGUUAACUUACUAUUAGUUUACUAGUUUUGCCAACUUAAUUUCGCGAAUAGUUACUUCACGAAAUGAAAUUGCUUGAAGGUUUUUCUUAUCAGUAAAAUCAAUUAUGUUCAUACAUAUAUUUUAGAAAGCAACAAUGGAUGGAAAGCCACUUUAAGGGUGCAAGUCAUUUAUAUAUAUUCGCCAAAUUCAUUAUUCUCCAUACCUUCAGGUUUAAUACAUGAUCGAAACUUAAAUUUAUCAAAAUAUUUUAUUUAAACAUGACUCGAAUAAUGUCAUAUUUUAAUUAAACAUUUAAUCCCUUAUAAAGUGUUUCAAUUAAAUACUUUCGAUUCAAAUUUCAGAAAUUUCUUUACGCGUGUUUUCAUUCAACUAUUUAGUAGCUAAGUUAACCACAUAAGAUGAGUUAUUUCUUUUAAUUAUACACAUCAACUUUAAGUAGAAAAUGUCUAUAGUUUUACGGCUUAUAUAGAAGCAAAUGUGUAUAUUUAAGGAGAUUAAUAUAUUUUAUAUGGUUAAUUUGAUUUAUCUAAUAGAUGAAUGAAAACACAAAAAUAAAAAAAAAUCAAAAUUUAAACCAAGGAUAUCUAAUUAAAUGAUUGUGUUGUUUCUGUUGAAGAUAUGCAUUAUUUUAGGUUUACGAUGGUGUUCGGAAUUCUCUCUUUUUCUUUGAAGGAUAAGGAUAACUUAGAGCCAAUAGAAGAACAAGUGAACAACCAUUUCAAACAUGAAAAGUGUAAAGUGGUGGAGUGUAAUUUAUUCGUCGUAUUAAAUAAGGACCAAGAAAUGGUCACUUGAAAUCAUGUCCACAUACAAUUUUGUUGCUUCUUUGAAGGCAUUUGGCCCUAUUUUAUUAUUAAAUUUGAAACAAAAAGAUUUUAUUUUUUUUUUAAGUGAAGAAUGGUAUUUGAAAAUUGAAUUAGUGUUUGGUCACGAAUACGAACUAAAAUUAUUUUUGGAAUUUUGUGAAUAACUUGAGAGAAAAAGGUUAAAAAAUAACUUGUUAUUUUUUAAUUUAGGGCCCGUUUGGCCAUGAAAAUUUUUCCAGAGUUGGAAAUUGUGGUGUUUGGCCAUGAAAAUUCGGAAAAUAAUUUCGGAAAAUUUUUCUAAAAAGGGAAAACAGGUUUUUGUUGUUUUCACAAUUUUUCAACUCCAAUUCCAACUUUUAUUAUUGUUAUAUAUAACUCCAAUCUUUUAAAUUUUUAUAUAAAACUCUCCUUAUAACAUUACUUUUUCAAUAUUACGUAUAUAGCAUUUUUAAAGAAUAAGAUAACUAUAAUUUUAAAUUUAAUGCUAUCCUAAUUGAUAUAUAUCUCUUUUUCUCUCUCAUCAUUAUUUUUAUUCUUUAUUUAAUUUUCUCCUUUAUUUAAGACAUUGUUUUACUGCUAAUUUAUAUUUAUAUCCAUAAAUAUAUAAAGUAUUAUAUUUAUAAUAGAAAUAUACAAAGUAUGNNNNNNNNNNNNNNNNNNNNNNNNNNNNNNNNNNNNNNNNNNNNNNNNNNNNNNNNNNNNNNNNNNNNNNNNNNNNNNNNCAUAUUUUACAUAGAAAUAAUUUAUUCACACAUAGUAAAAUCUUUCAUAUAUAAGAAAAUUAAAGAAAUAAAUUAGCGGCAUCUUAAAAUUUAAUAACAACUCAUCAUUUCAUAUUUUUUAGGAACAGAAAAUGAAGGAAAUAAAUUAAAUAAAUUCCUGAAAAAAUAAAUUUGUUUGAAAGAUAAUAUUUGUUACUAAAAAAUAGGAAGCAGUAAUCUAUUAAUAUAACAUCCAUAUUUAAAAAUUUCAAAUUUGAGAAAACGACUAUUAAUGUAAAUAUUAUAUAUAUCAUAAUUGAAAUUCAUUAAAUAUGACCAUGUAUAUGUAAUUAUUUUUAUAAUAGUGAUUAAUUGUGUUCUUUUUCCAUUUGUAGGUAAUUUUAGUUGGGUGAUUUUGAUAGUUUGUAAAAGUUUGAGCAUAAAAUCAUAUUUAAAUUUUUUUUUUCAAAAGUCAAAAAAAAAUUUUUAAAAAAGACAUUGCCCAACACAACUCCAACUUCAAUUUCAACUCCUAACUUCGAAAAAUUUUAAUUUUCAUGGUCAAACGAUUACUUAAUUUUUUGAAAAUUCCACAAUUCAACUUCAAGUUGAACUUUAGAAUUUUUUAAAAUUUUAUUGUCAAACAUGUUUUUUGAAGUUUAACUCGAAAAAUAAUCUGUCUACUUUCUUUCUUAGUUUUUAUUUCAUUUUUUUUCCAUAUCUAAAUUCAUAAAACGACUAGAUUUCAAAGUUUACCUGGUCACUAAGCUGAGCUAUUCGUUUGGGCCAAUACAAACUUUAGCCAACUAAUAGAUAUAAUUUCGAAUUAUGACCAAAAUUGCAACGUCAUAUUUUAAUUUCACAAGUUCUAUUAUUCCUAAAUUCAAUUUUAGUGUACGUUGUGACCUUUUUUUUUUUUGCUGAUGUAGCAAUUUUAUUACAUAAAAUAGGUCUCACAUAAAUGGACAAAAGAUAUCAUAUCAGCUAAAAAAAAAUGACAAAAUAUGCUAAAAUUUAAUUCAAUUAAUAAAAUUCCCAUAAAAUUAAAAUAUAUCGUAAUAAAUUUAAUCAUACUUGUGGUGUAUUGCUUUUCUCCAACUAGUAAAUGAUACUUCAAAAGUUUAAAGAAGUUUAAAGAUCAAAACUUAAAAUUUCUUGUCAGUUUUCAAGAGAUGAAAGAAUUUUUUGAAUCUGUACACUGUUGUAUAGUACAAAAUUUACAGCAACGUGUCAUUUUCUAUGAACAAGUAUUCAAGUAAUUAUUCACUACUACUUCUAACUGUGAUCCAUCUCUCAUCAUCAUUCCUUCUCCAAUUCAGUUCUGAAUCUGAACCUAAUUUUCUUACCCUUUGCAGAGGAGACUCCACUGAGCUUGCUGUUAGUAUUGAAUAAUGAUCCAUAGUUUCUGAAUUCCAUAUGUCUUGAUCAAGAAUGCUUGUCGGCGAACUUGUCACAAAAUCUUGAGUUGACAUAGAAUUCGAAUUGGAUUCUUCAAGAAACGGAUGUUUGAGGAGUUGUUUAGCUGUCCAUCUUUCUUUCGGAUCUCUUCUCAAGCAUUUGCUUAAGAAAUCCCUUGCUUCUAAAGACAAGAAUUUUGGAAUUUCUGGGGAUUCCCCAGAAAAUGCAAUUUGGUAGAGCAAUGAAGCUGCGUUUGUGGCAUUAGUCCAUGCCGAUCUACCAGUGGCCAUUUCAAUAAUCGUACAUCCCAAUGACCAAAUAUCACCCGGACGCCCCUGUUCUCCCCCACGCGCCACCUCUGGUGCCAUGAACAUCGGGGUCCCACCAAUUGGCUCCGUGGAACCAACGUCCCUGUCUGCUGGAUCAAUCCACCUGGCACAACCAAAAUCGGCAAUUUUGGCACCGGUUUUAGCUAACAAAAUGUUCUGCCCCUUAAUGUCACAGUGUGCUAUGCCCCUUGAAUGCAGGUACUCUAGUCCUUGUGCAAUUUGCUUGGCAUAAUACCCUAUCAAAGGCUCGUUGAUCCGACCACCAUGUUUCCGAUUUUCAUCGACGAGUGUACCUUCCGACAUGUAUUCCAUCAUAAGAUUAAACAUGAGUUUGUCCUUCU
rnacentral:lncRNA from 1 species